AUGUUAUAUUAAAUAUUAUUAUUUUGUUUAUUUUAAUAUAAAUAAUUAAUAUUUUAAUAACAGAUUAAUAGUGUUUAACUAUUUGAGAGAGAGCGAUAACAGGUCUGUGAUGCCCUUAGAUGUCCGGGGCUGCACGCGCGCUACAAUGUAGUGAUCAUUAUGUUCCUGUUUAGAGAUAAAUGGGUAAACAUUGAAAACAUUACGUAACUGGGAGUGAAAAUUGCAAUUAUUUUUCAUGAACGAGGAAUUCCAAGU
rnacentral:misc_RNA from 1 species